rfam:Candidatus Moranbacteria bacterium RIFOXYB1_FTLL_43_19 rifoxyb1_full_scaffold_119, whole genome shotgun sequence.
GGCCCUAUCGUCUAGCGGCCAGGACGCCAGGUUCUCAUCCUGGUAACCGGGGUUCGAUUCCCCGUAGGGUCA